AUUGAACGCUGGCGGCAGGCCUAACACAUGCAAGUCGAACGAUAGCACAGAGAGCUUGCUCUCGGGUGACGAGUGGCGGACGGGUGAGUAAUGUCUGGGAAACUGCCCGAUGGAGGGGGAUAACUACUGGAAACGGUAGCUAAUACCGCAUAACGUCGCAAGACCAAAGUGGGGGACCUUCGGGCCUCACACCAUCGGAUGUGCCCAGAUGGGAUUAGCUAGUAGGUGGGGUAAUGGAUCACCUAGGCGACGAUCCCUAGCUGGUCUGAGAGGAUGACCAGCCACACUGGAACUGAGACACGGUCCAGCCUCCUACUGGAGGCAGCAGUGGGGAAUAUUGCACAAUGGGCGCAAGCCUGAUGCAGCCAUGCCGCGUGUAUGAAGAAGGCCUUCGGGUUGUAAAGUACUUUCAGCGGGGAGGAAGGCGGUGAAGUUAAUAACUUCACCGAUUGACGUUACCCGCAGAAGAAGCACCGGCUAACUCCGUGCCAGCCGCCGCGGUAA
rnacentral:rRNA from 1 species